UACGUAGGGCGCAAGCGUUAUCCGGAAUUACUGGGCGUAAAGCGCACGUAGGCGGCUCUUUAAGUCGGGGGUGAAAUCCUGGAGCUCAACUCCAGAACUGCCUUCGAUACUGAAGAGCUCGAGUCCGGGAGAGGUGAGUGGAACUGCGAGUGUAGAGGUGAAAUUCGUAGAUAUUCGCAAGAACACCAGUGGCGAAGGCGGCUCACUGGCCCGGUACUGACGCUGAGGUGCGAAAGCGUGGGGAGCAAACAGG
rnacentral:rRNA from 1 species